GACGAACGCUGGCGGCGCGCCUAACACAUGCAAGUCGAACGGACUCAAGAGGAGCUUGCUUUUCUUGACUUAGUGGCGAACGGGUGAGUAACGCGUGAGUAACCUGCCCUUGAGUGUGGGACAACAUUUGGAAACGACUGCUAAUACCGCAUAAGCCCACGGAUCCGCAUGUAUCUUCGUGAAAAAGCUUUAUUCGCUUCCUGAUGGACUCGCGUCCCAUUAGCUAGUUGGUUAGGUAACGGCCCACCAAGGCGACCAUUGGUAGACGGACUGAGAGGUUGAACGGCCACAUUGGGACUGAGACACGGCCGAGAAUCCUACGGGAGGCAGCAGUGGGGGACAUUGCACAAUGGGGUAAACCCUGAUGCAGCGAGGAUGCGUGGAGGAAGAAGGUUUUCGGAUUGUAAACUCCUGUUGUCAGGGAAGAUAAUGACGGUACCUAACAAGAAAGCAACGGCUAACUACGUG
rnacentral:rRNA from 1 species